ensembl:lncRNA
CUCUUGAAGGUCAGCUCCCUCCAAUUGGUACCCUGGCUCUAUUGUCCUGUACCCAGGAUAAUAAGUUUAAUCAGCACCAAUAGGACCCAGUUCAAAGGAGCAAGUCUGUGAUAUAUACUGGCUUUAAGUAAUAUAAUACAGAGAACAGUCUGAUUUCACCUAUUUUUUGCCCGAUUUGAACUUUAUUUAUUUUUUUACUUUUCAUUUUUUUAGCUAUCUAUGAAUGGUUUAUUGUGACCUAGAAACAGUCGCUUUGGAAACAAACCCUUGAUACUUGUAAUUCCCAAGCAGGCAGUUCUCAGGCUCUGCCCACUCCUAUACAGAGAGUCUGCAGAGCCAUAUCUCCCCAGGUUCUUAAGGAGUUCUUAUUUCAAAAUAAUUGUUUGCUGAUUUGCAUAGAAAUAUUUUCUAUGGAAGAAUCAUGCUUGGGGUUUCACUGUUGUGUUUUUGCUCUGGUCUUAGAGAUUACCACAUGCUUCCCUCACCCCCAUUCCUUAAAUUUUAAUUUUUUAUUGGAUAUUUUUUAUUUACAUUUCAUCUAAUUCUGAGUUCAUGAGCUCAGAUGGUUAUUUUUUCCAUGGGCCAUGCCCUACCACAGGCUGGAUGUUGAAUUGCCUAUACUUCAAUCUGAACGUGGGAUGAGAAUGAUGGCUGUGCAUUAAAUGAACAACUCAAUAUGUGACGCCAUGGAGAAGUACAAGGAGCUCAUACAAGAGAACAAUUCCUACACAUCAGGCACUUCCAGCUCCUGCGUGAACGGACUCCAUAGAAGAACAAUAUAAAGAUUUUGCUGUAUGAGAACAAAAAACUGAUGGUGGAGCAGACUGUUCUGCCAGCAUCCUGUGUGGAGGCAAAGAGGUUCUGUGAAGAGGCCGGAAUGAACAUCUGUGUCCCCAGAGCCAAGCAGUUGCAGGUCUAAAAUUCUCCAGCGAAACUCGAACAUGGCAUAGACCAGAACAAGAUCUCCCUUGGAGAGCAGUGCCACAGG